CCUACGGGGCGCAGCAGUGGGGAAUAUUGCACAAUGGGGGAAACCCUGAUGCAGCGACGCCGCGUGAGUGAAGAAGUAUUUCGGGAUGUAAAGCUCUAUCAGCAGGGAAGAAAAAAGACGGUACCUGACUAAGAAGCCCCGGCUAACUACGUGCCAGCAGCCGCGGUAAUACGUAGGGGGCAAGCGUUAUCCGGAUUUACUGGGUGUAAAGGGAGCGGAGACGGCGCGGCAAGUCUGAAGUGCAAGGCAGGGGCUU
rnacentral:rRNA from 1 species